GGUAAACCUCGCAUGGUGGCACCGGGCUCCAGGCGGCGGCGGUGCGAUGAGGUAGGCAGGGAAGGAGGGAAGCAGGUUGAGGACGAAGACGAUGACUGGGAUAGGCCAAGCCGGUGCGCGUAGAUAGGCCACAGCGUGCGAGCGUGGCAGCUGGGCCGGGAAAGUGGAGUAGGUGGGUUAAAUCGAUCGUGGAAACGGGCCAGACAGAAGGGAGGUGGCUCAUGGAAGUUUUAAUAGGCUUUCCUUUUAUUUGAAGAUAGUUUGUAUCCAAC
rnacentral:lncRNA from 1 species